rnacentral:rRNA from 1 species
GUCUAUUAUGAAGAUAUUAAUAGUCUAGCCUGCUCAGUGAUAUUAAAUAUUAAAUAGCCGCGGUAUUCUGACCGUGCAAAGGUAGCAUAAUAAUUAGUUUUUUAAUUGGAAACUUGUAUGAAUGGUUGGACAAAGAAGAAGCUGUCUCUAAUAUUAAGUUAAAAAUUAACUUCUAAGUGAAAAGGCUUAGAUACUCUAGGGGGACGAUAAGACCCUAUAAAGCUUUAUAAAUAAUUAAGAUUUUAUAUAUGUUUUUAUUAGAAAAAGUCUUGAAUUUUUAUUGGAUUGGGGCGAUAGAGGUAUAAAUAAAAUAACUGCUAUUUUUAUAAUACAAAUAUCAUUGAUUAAAAUUUUAAUUGAUCCUUUUUAAAGAUUAAAAGAUCAAGUUACUUUAGGGAUAACAGCGUAAUUUUUUCUGAGAGUUCUUAUCAAAGAAAAAGUUUGCGACCUCGAUGUUGAAUUAAAAUGUCUUUAUAGUGCAGCCGCUAUAAAAGAAGGUCUGUUCGACCUUUAAUUUUUUACAUGAUUUGAGUUCAGAUCGGCGAGAGCCAGAUCGGUUUCUAUCUCCUAGCUAAAAGAGAAUCGUUUUAGUACGAAAGGAUUAAAUGAUUAAAAUUUUUCUAAGAAUUGAAAUAUA